GUCGUAGCGUAAGCGAUUGGCUAGGCACCCUGAUCAUUGUGAACAUCUGCCGCUAACUGUACGAACAUAGUAUUUGUAUGCCUUUUGUAAUUCAAUUAUUUCGUAGUUUCUCAAAUAUAAUACACAUACAUACAUGUACAUACGAGUAUAAUCAAGACAUUCUCUUCCUUCACUUUCAUAAUCUUCCUCAUACAAGAUACAAGAUGCAAGAUACAAGAUACAAGAUGCAAGAUACAAGAUACAAGAUGCAAGAUACAAGAUGCAAGAUACAAGAUACAAGAUGCAAGAUACAAGAUACAAGAUACAAGAUGCAAGAUGCAAGAUACAAGAUACAAGAUGCAAGAUACAAGAUACGCUUGCCGGUUUAGGGUGCUCUUGAUCUGGCCUUUCUUUUUACCCCGAUUUGAUCAGAGAAAGUCCGCCGAUGUCUACCGCUUCCAGCUCCCUCUUCUACUUCUCCCUUGUACUCCCUUAGCCUUCUUUCACUCAUUAUUUCUUUCACUCGUUAUUGACGACCGGCUUGGCCUAGUGGGUAGUGACCCUGCCUACGAAGCUGAUGGUCCCGGGUUCAAAUCCUGGUAAGGGCAUUUAUUCGUGUGAUGAGCAUGGAUAUUUGUUCCUGAGUCAUGGGUGUUUUCUAUGUAUUUAAGUAUUUAUAAAUAUUUAUAUAUUAUAUAUAUCGUUGUCUAAGUACCCUCAACACAGGCCUUAUUGAGCUUACUGUGGGACUUAGUCAAUUUGUGUAAUAAUGUCCUAUAAUAUUUAUUAUUUUAUUAUUAUUAUUAUUUCCACGUGUCCAAAUCGUUGAGUUGGUUUACUUACCUAUAUCCAUUUUUGUCACUACAUCUUCAUUCAAUCCACACUUUUUCCUUAUCAAAUAUAAUAUUUAUCUUUAUUGUUAUUGUUGGGAAUGUUAUAGGUUUUAUCGGCGCAGUAUUGUUUCUCGGUUUUCAUUUCAUUGUUAGCUUUUACAGACAGCAGUCACUUGUUUAUUUUAUUUUAGUUUAAGUUUUAAAAAAGCGUGUUAAAAAAGGCCCUGGCGGCACUUAGUCGCUGGGGCCUUUGCAUGCCAGAGGAUUCUUUCAGGUACUACAGCACCUUUUCAAAUCUAAAUGCUGACAUGUAACGAAUACGUCUACCGUUCCAAAAAUAACUUCAAAGAAAAAUAAGAGCUCUGAGAAGCCUCCUUGGGCACCGUGUGCUGAACCCUGAGCCUUACUCGUACCCGCGGCGGCGAGCGGAUGGCGACCGACGGCCGAAACACAGAAAUACAGACAACACUCAUAUCUGCCCGAUGCCAGGCAUGGCGCAAGGAGAAGCCACUCUAGUCCAAGAGAGCGCGUACCCGUGGGUCGUGCGGGUGCCACGCGUGCGGCACAGCUCUACUGCACCGGCGGCCACGGUCUGCGCGGCGGUCGGGAUCCGGCCGGGUGUUUACAACAGCUGCUUGAUGUAUUGCCACAUACGUCAAAUAAUAUCCUUAAGAAGAAUUCCCUGUAGACCAAAACCCUGUAUAGGUUAGACAACAUGUACGCGAGGAAUUCGCUUUGCAACAAAAUACUCCCAAUGGUGGACAAUUCGGAGUAUUACUAGGCCGCCUGCGUCCACUCCUGCGACCCGCUGCAACACUCCAGCAACAACGCCACAUGCCACCGCUACCUGUUCGGGCUGGGGCACGUGGUGCUCGACAACGAUGAGCUAGUCGGCAUAGUUACGUGGCCGUGCGGGAAUAAUGCUUGGGUCUGGGCUGGACGAGAAAAGUAGGUCGCUGCGUGUGAGAGCGGACCCCGACACUCGCUCUGCUGUAUUCUGGCCUGUGCAGAGAAAAUGUCUGCAUUUGUCUAGAUACAAAAGGACGACCGGUAGCGUGGAUAUCUAGCUAAAGCAGGCAAUCGAGAGUACGAGUACGAGCUGAAUAACACCGACAUACAUAUUUUAUAUACAUGUAAUACAUUCAUACCAGAUAGACCAAUUUUAUACUUUUACUUAGUCUUGGUGGUUUUUAAUAAUGGAAUCUGUCGAUCAUUCUGACAGUGGUACCUAACGCACGAAAUGUCCUUUGCUAAUCGGUAUUCAGCCGUGACGUCAUGCUUGGGGAAUAGCCGUCGCGUAUUAUGGAGAAGCAAGAAAAUUGCUAUUUUUACCGUGAAAUAUUGCGUUCAGAUAUACAGUUGCCAUACAAACUAUUAUUCAAUAAAAUGUAAGUAAUCGAAUUGUACCAUUUCGUUCAUCUCGAAAUGCAAAUUAAUAAAAUAUUUUAAAAUGUU